rnacentral:rRNA from 1 species
CGUGUAGGCGGUUUGGUAAGUCAGAUGUGAAAGCCCUGGGCUUAACCCAGGAAGUGCAUUUGAUACUGCCAUUCUUGAGUAUGGGAGAGGAGAGUGGAGUUCCCAGUGUAGAGGUGAAAUUCGUAGAUAUUGGGAGGAACACCCGUGGCGAAGGCGACUCUCUGGACCAAUACUGACGCUGAGACGCGAAAGCGUGGGGAGCAAACA